ensembl:lncRNA
ACAGUAAUAAUAUAUAUCUGCCUCACUCUCAGAGAAAUCAGUAGUACUGCUAGGUUUUACACAGUAAUAAUAUAUAUCUGCCUCACUCUCAGAGAAAUCAGUAGUACUGCUAGGUUUUACACAGUAAUAAUAUAUAUAUGCCUCACUCUAAGAGAAAUCAGUAGUACUGCUAGGUUUUACACAGUAAUAAUAUAUAUCUGCCUCACUCUCAGAGAAAUCAGUAGUACUGCUAGGUUUUACACAGUAAUAAUAUAUAUCUGCCUUACUCUCAGAGAAAUCAGUAGUACUGCUAGGUUUUACACAGUAAUAAUAUAUAUCUGCCUCACUCUCAGAGAAAUCAGUAGUACUGCUAGGUUUUACACAGUAAUAAUAUAUAUCUGCCUCACUCUCAGAGAAAUCAGUAGUACUGCUAGGUUUUAUACAGUAAUAAUAUAUAUCUGCCUCACUCUCAGAGAAAUCAGUAGUACUGCUAGGUUUUACACAGUAAUAAUAUAUAUCUGUCUCACUCUCAGAGAAAUCAGUAGUACUGCUAGGUUUUACACAGUAAUAAUAUAUAUCUGCCUCACUCUCAGAGAAAUCAGUAGUACUGCUAGGUUUUAUACAGUAAUAAUAUAUUUCUGCCUCACUCUCAGAGAAAUCAGUAGUACUGCUAGGUUUUACACAGUAAUAAUAUAUAUCUGCCUCACUCUCAGAGAAAUCAGUAGUACUGCUAGGUUUUAUACAGUAAUAAUAUAUUUCUGCCUCACUCUCAGAGAAAUCAGUAGUACUGCUAGGUUUUACACAGUAAUAAUAUAUUUCUGCCUCACUCUCAGAGAAAUCAGUAGUACUGCUAGGUUUUACACAGUAAUAAUAUAUAUCUGUCUCACUCUCAGUGAAAUCAGUAGUACUGCUAGGUUUUACACAGUAAUAAUAUAUAUCUGCCUCACUCUCAGAGAAAUCAGUAGUACUGCUAGGUUUUACACAGUAAUAAUAUAUAUCUGCCUCACUCUCAGUGAAAUCAGUAGUACUGCUAGGUUUUACACAGUAAUAAUAUAUAUCUGCCUCACUCUCAGAGAAAUCAGUAGUACUGCUAGGUUUUACACAGUAAUAAUAUAUAUCUGCCUCACUCUCAGAGAAAUCAGUAGUACUGCUAGGUUUUACACAGUAAUAAUAUAUAUCUGCCCCACUCUCAGAGAAAUCAGUAGUACUGCUAGGUUUUACACAGUAAUAAUAUAUAUCUACCUCACUCUCAGAGAAAUCAGUAGUACUGCUAGGUUUUACACAGUAAUAAUAUAUAUCUGCCUCACUCUCAGAGAAAUCAGUAGUACUGCUAGGUUUUACACAGUAAUAAUAUAUAUCUACCUCACUCUCAGAGAAAUCAGUAGUACUGCUAGGUUUUACACAGUAAUAAUAUAUAUCUGCCUCACUCUCAGAGAAAUCAGUAGUACUGCUAGGUUUUACACAGUAAUAAUAUAUAUCUACCUCACUCUCAGAGAAAUCAGUAGUACUGCUAGGUUUUACACAGUAAUAAUAUAUAUCUGCCUCACUCUCAGAGAAAUCAGUAGUACUGCUAGGUUUUACACAGUAAUAAUAUAUAUCUACCUCACUCUCAGAGAAAUCAGUAGUACUGCUAGGUUUUACACAGUAAUAAUAUAUAUCUGCCUCACUCUCAGAGAAAUCAGUAGUACUGCUAGGUUUUACACAGUAAUAAUAUAUAUCUGCCUCACUCUCAGAGAAAUCAGUAGUACUGCUAGGUUUUACACAGUAAUAAUAUAUAUCUGCCUCACUCUCAGAGAAAUCAGUAGUACUGCUAGGUUUUACACAGUAAUAAUAUAUAUAUGA